rnacentral:rRNA from 1 species
ACUCAAAUGAAUAGACGGGGGCCCGCACAAGCGGCGGAGCGUGCGGUUUAAUUCGACGCGACGCGCAGAACCUUACCCGGGCUGGACAACCCCUGCAAGCCGCUGAAAGGCGGUCGCCUUCGAGGGUGGGGUGCAGGUGCUGCAUGGCUGUCGUCAGCUCGUGCCGUGAGGUGUUGGGUUAAGUCCCGCAACGAGCGCAACCCCCGCCGCCAGUUGGAGUCUUUCUGGCGGGACGGCCCCGCAAGGGGAGGAAGGAGGGGAUGAUGUCAAGUCAGCAUGGCCCUUACGUCCGGGGCGACACGCACGCUACAAUGGCCGGGACAACGGGUUGCCAAGGCGCAAGCCGGAGCCAAUCCCCCAAACCCGGUCUCAGUUCGGAUCGGGGGCUGCAACCCGCCCCCGUGAAGCCGGAGUCGCUAGUAACCGUGGGUCAGCAUUACCGCGGUGAAUGUGUUCCCGGGCCUUGCACACACCGCCCGU